UAACACACACACACACCCUCAGUCAUGGGGCAAAGGUAACACACACACACACACCCUCAGUCAUGGGGCAAAGGUAACACACACACACCCUCAGUCAUGGGGCAAAGGUAACACACACACACACACACCCUCAGUCAUGGGGCAAAGGUAACACACACACACCCUCAGUCAUGGGGCAAAGGUAAC